GCCACAUGAUGAUAUCAAGGCUGUGGUGAUUCAGUUGGUUUGGCUAAGCCCAGGAGCCUUUGAUCUAUUAAGGUCUGUAAUCUUGGUGGGCAAUACAGAGUUAUGUGUGUUCACUGUAAGGGCAGACCAACAAGAAAUUCUUCCUACUUUUCAGCUACCUCUUUUUAAUAGAGGUGAUUCUUCCAGCUGCCAGUAAGAAAUUAUGGUAACUGGAGUGAAAGGAGGGACAGGGCAUAUGAGUAUAUGGUAUUUGGGUCAAGGGUUCAAAGGACUUAGCCCAUGUAAUGGCCACUGAGAGAUGAAACACAGAUCUUUGGUAAUCUGAUGGCU